rnacentral:tRNA from 1 species
GCCGGCAUAGCUCAGUUGGUAGAGCAACUGAUUUGUAAUCAGUGGGUCGCGAGUUCGAUUCUUGCUGCCGGCA